rnacentral:rRNA from 1 species
UACGGAGGGGGCUAGCGUUGUUCGGAAUUACUGGGCGUAAAGCGCGCGUAGGCGGCUUUGUAAGGUAGAGGUGAAAGCCCGGAGCUCAACUCCGGAAUUGCCUUUAAGACUGCAUCGCUAGAAUCAUGGAGAGGUUAGUGGAAUUCCGAGUGUAGAGGUGAAAUUCGUAGAUAUUCGGAAGAACACCAGUGGCGAAGGCGACUAACUGGACAUGUAUUGACGCUGAGGUGCGAAAGCGUGGGGAGCAAACAGG